CAAAUUAUGAAUUUUUAGGUCACAACUAAAUAGUUGGUGACGAAUAACCAAAUAGUUGGUGACAUACUACCACCAACAACAUUACCAACACCAUCAACAAAAUCGUCACCUCUAGAUCCAAUCCACUGCCAACAAAAAUCACUACAACCACCACUAUCAACCACCAACAACCACCUAUUUGGUUAGAGUGCGCUGAUUGAUAUGUACUGUAAAAAUGGGAGAAUUCAUUUGGCUCGGUAUGGGUUUGAUAAGAGUGCAUUUAAAGGAUGUUGCUAUUUGGACUAGCUUGAUAAAUGGACAUAUUUUGAAUUGUUGUAUUGAUUAUGCUAGGAAGUUGUUCGAUGAAAUGCCGGAAAAAAAAUAAAUAAAUAAAUAAAUAAAGAAAAAAAGAAAAAAAUGGUUUCUUUGACUGCAAUGAUUGGGGAAUAUGUGCGAGAGAAGGUUCCAAUUAAGGCAAUGGAGUUCUUCCAGAGGAUGAGGAUAGAAGAUGUUGGACAAGAUUUUUUUCCUACAACAGUAACUAUUGUGCUGAUUUUUGUAGUUCAAUUCAUGGUUAUUUUAAUAACGUGUUGGAUUUGUUGUGGAUGUUGCCGGGAAUAAUGGUUUAAUUGAUAUGUAUGCAAAGAUUGGACAUCUUAAUUCAGCUGUGAAGAUAUUUGACGCCUUGAAGAACAAGGAUUUAUUUUCACGGACUAGGAUGAUUUCUGGUUUGGCACUACAUGGAAGACGAAAGUAUUCUUUCAGACUUUUGAUGAAAUGGUGGAAUCUGGAAUGAUCCCGAAUAAAAUUACAUUUCUCUCCGUCUUAUCAGCCUCCUGCCAUUCAUGAUUGGUUACUGAGGAAGAGAGAUUAUUCAAGAUAUAUGUGAAUAACUACCAUUUGAAGCCCAAGAUUGAGCAUUAUGGAUGUAUGGUGGAUCUUCUUGGUCGAGCAGGGCAGUUAAAGGAAGCCAUAAGAGUUGAUUGAGGGAAUGCCCAUGAAACCAGAUGCUGUUAUCUGGAGAUCGAUUCUGAGUGCUGCUUUGGAACAUGGGGAUUCUGAAUUAGAAGAAGUGGCAGGAAAGAAAGUACUUCAACUAGUACCUGACAAUGAUGCUGUGUAUGUACUCCUACGGAGUGCACAUCGUUCUGCGAAUAGGUGGGAAGAUGCUUUAAGAACAGCAAAGAUGAUGAGAGAUCAAAGAAUCAAGAAAAGACCUGGGUGUAGUUGGGUUGAAGUGAAUGGCAUUGUUAAUGAAUUUGUUGCUGAAGCUUCCGCACUCCAUAUCAGUGAUGAUGUACUAAUGGUUCUGAAUGGAGUGAUUAGCGACUCAAAACUGGAUACUAAUCUCAUUUUUGUUGGAUGAGCACGGAGAUUGGGGUUCAUCAAGGAUUAUAGCAUCAAAAUAGCCAAAAUGAAGCAACCUAGUUAACGAAUCAAAUAUAGUUAGCUAAGAGGUUCAAUAGGCACCUGCUUUUUUAUGUAAAAUUUACUGUCUUGCUAUCUUCUAAUCUUCUUGCCCUUUCUUGUUUUCAUAGCAUUCACUAACAAUGUGACAGCAUUAAGGUCAGCUGGUUGCUUCGGAGAGCACAAGUUCAAUGUCCGGAAAAUGUCUUGAUAAAGCAUUUUACUCACUCCAGUUCAAGAUCACAUGAAACUCUGAAACAUAGAUGAUUUGAUGACACCGAAAAGAUGAAAUUUUUGCAAAAUCCUGAACUGGUCCAGUACAAUGCCCUUUUAUUUGCAAAUGAAAUAAAUCGUUUUUAGUGUUGAACACUAGCUAAUGAUGUGCAAAUUGGGAUGCAGCUGAGAGAAAAUGAGGAGAACGCCCAUUACCAGAUUGGUGGUGAGUCGUGACCGCUGGCUGAAAAUGAGAUUUACAGGUGCGAAGGCAAAUGAUGGAAUUUAUUUAAGGAUUAUCAACACAGUUUAUCGACAUUAUACAAUUAAAUUAUUUCUUCUAUGUAUUGGUGUAUGUAUGCAAUGAAUUAAU
rnacentral:lncRNA from 1 species